AGACGGUUCCAGGCUACGCAGGGCGUGGCGGUGGCGGUGCGCGGCGCGCUGUGCAGACGACAGUCCUUGCGCAAAAAAAAAAAAAAAACGUCAAGCGCGCUCAAGAGCCUUUCUCCCGAAGUAGAAUUCCAAGUUCUUUACCACGCUAUGUUUUUCAGAAGACUUCGAGGCUUGCAGCAUGAGUGACCACCAGCAUCAUCGCCUUAAGAGCGCGACGAAGACACAAGAAACACCGUCGAAAUGUUGGUUCUUGUAAGCUUAAGGGCAGCAUCACUUCGUCCUUUCUGCCAAGUGGACAGCUUUCGGCGUAUUCCCAAGUAUUUGAAAGUUCCUGCGCCCGCUGCGCAUCUCCACGGCGUCGUGUGUGGUCUGGUCACAAACCUGUUGGCUGGAGAGAAGUCUUGUGAAAGAGAGAGAGAGAGUCUUGUGAGAAGCUGUGCUUACAUUGAAUGCAUCCAGCUACACCCUCUCACUCUGUGCGUGCGUACUGGCGCCCUCUCUUUCUUCUGUAGCGCUCACUGUAGAAGUGACGAUCUUUUCGCGAUUAUUUUAUUGAUGUCUGGACAGCUCACAGACGAAUGCGAAAGGUUUACGGACGGGGGAGCGUGCCACAAUGGUUUAGUGCGUCAUUCGCAGUGCGUCACUUGCCUGUCUUACAAGCUCACAGAACGAGGCAUGCGUCAUUGCGCUGACAGAGCACGUGAAAAGAAGGAAAAGUCGCAGAGUUUAUCAAUCCAGUAAACUGAGAAAUGUUAAGUUAGCCUAAAGUGAUCGCUCUAAUAAACUUUAUUAUUUCCUUGUA